CUUAAAUGGGGGAUUUUCCAAACGAAAAUGCAUGAUUUUCUUUUUAGAUGGGGGAUUUUCAUAGAGAAAAGGCAUGAUUUUUGUGUUAAGUGGGGGAUAUUUGCAAAAAAAAAAAAACGAGGCGUGAUUUUUGGGUUACAUGGGAGAUUUUUGCAGAGAAAAUGUGUGAUUUUCGGUUACAUGAGGGAUUUCUUGCAGAGACAAUGCUUGAUUUUUGUUUAAAUGAGGGAUUUUGGCAGAGAACAUGCGUGAUUUUCGGGUUAAACGGGGGAUUUCUGCAAAAAAAAAUCAUGAUUCUCGGGUAAAAUUUGGUGUAGUUGAAGAGAAAAUGCAUGAUUUUGGGGUUAAAUGGGGGAUUUUGGAAGAGAAAAUGCGCGUUGUUUGAGAUAAACAGGGGAUUUUUGUAGAGCGAAUGCAUGAUUUUGGGGUUAAAUGGGGGAUUUUCCAAGGGAAAAUUUGUGAUUUUCGGGUUAAAUGGGGGACUUUCCAAGGGAAAAGGCAUGAUUUUCAGGUUAAAUGGGGGAUUUUGGAAGAGCAAAUGUGUGAGUUUUGGUUAAAUGGGGGGUUUUCCAGAGAAA
ensembl:lncRNA